GUUACUCAGUUCAGAUUGCAGGCUGCAACCCGCCUGCAUGAAGUCGGAAUUGCUAGUAAUCGCGGAUCAGCAUGCCGCGGUGAAUACGUUCCCGGGGCCUUGUACACACCGCCCGUCACACCAUGGGAGCCGGUAAUACCCGAAGUCAGUAGUCCAACCACGUGAGGACGCUGCCGAAGGUAGGAUUGGCGACUGGGGUGAAGUCGUAACAAGGUACC
rnacentral:rRNA from 1 species